rnacentral:rRNA from 1 species
CCGGUUGAUCCUGCCGGAGGCUACCGCUAUUGGAGUUCGAUUAAGCCAUGCGAGUCGCGAGAAAUUAGAUUCUCGGCGUACCGCUCAGUAACACGUGGGUAACCUGCCCUAUGCUGGAUAAUAACCUCGGGAAACUGAGAAUAAUGAUCCAUAGUUCACUACGCCUGGAACGGUGAGUGGAUGAAAGCUCCGGCGGCAUAGGAUGGGCCUGCGGCGUAUCAGGUUGUAGGGGGUGUAACGUACCCUCUAGCCCUCUACGCGUACGGGUGUUGGGAGACAUAGCCCGGAGAUGGAUUCUGAGACACGAAUCCAGACCCUACGGGGUGCAGCAGGCGCGAAAACUUGGCAAUGCGAGAAAUCGUGACCAGGGAACUCCAAGUGCAUGGGGUAAGACCCAUGCUUUUCUUGACUCUAAAUAGGUCUUGGAAUAAGGGGUGGGUAAGGACGGUGCCAGCCGCCGCGGUAAUACCGGCGCCUCAAGUGGUAGUCGCUUUUAUUGGGCCUAAAACGUCCGUAGCCGGUCUGAUACAUUCGUGGGUAAAUCAACCAGCUUAACUGGUUGAAUUCUGCGAGGACGGUCAGACUUGGGACCGGGAGAGGUGUGGGGUACGCUCAGGGUAGGGGUAAAAUCCUGUCAUCCUGAGCGGACCACCUGUUGCGAAGGCGCCACACUAGAACGGAUCCGACGGUCAGGGACGAAGCCUAGGGGCACGAACCGGAUUAGAUACCCGGGUAGUCCUAGGUGUAAACGCUGUGGACUUGAUGUUGGGGGUGCUCCGAGCACUCUCAGUGUCGAAGCGAAGGUGAUAAGUCCACUGCCUGGGAAGUACGGUCGCAAGGCUGAAACUUAAAGGAAUUGGCGGGGGAGCACCGCAACCUGAGGAUUGUGCGGUUUAAUUGGAUUCAACGCCG